AUUUUUAUAGUUUAUAAAAAAUAUAGCAUUGAAAAUGCUAAGAAAAGUUUAGCUUUAAAAGUA
rnacentral:tRNA from 1 species